GGAAGGGAAUAGCUCAGUGGUAGAGUGCAUGCUUGGCAAGCAUGAGGUCCUGGGUUCGAUUCCCAGUACCUCCA